CCCCCAGGCACCCCUUGUUUUACUUUCUAAAGGAUAACAAAUAAAGAAAUCAAAGUGUAAAAAGGAAAACAAACAAAAAAACCCCAAAAAACCUGUAUGCCGGAUACCACAGUUGGAACCACUGCAUUGUAGACGGGCACCAUCCAGCCGAAAUAUAACGUGAGCUAUAUAAUCAAUUUUAAACGUUCUAAAGUAAAAAGAAACAAGUGAAACUAACUUAAUGUUCUGAAAACGUGUAUCUUUUCAAUAUAUAAUCAAUAUAAAGUCAUUAAUAAGAUUUUACAUUCCUUCCUUCUUGCUCAAUCUAAAAUCUGAUGUACUUUUCACACUUCUGGCACAUUCCGUUCCUGACUGGCCCCGUAUCAGUGCGUGACCCCGCACGGAGCAAGAGGUAUCAUAUCGGGCAGUUCAGAUCCGGAAUGAUGGUCUCUUCCCAUUUGGGCCUGAUGUAUUUUCCUCUGUUUAUUUCCAUGUAUGAUGAGCAAUAUGAAAACCCCUAAAUAAUAAAGGGUUUGUGUGGCUGGCUCCAGUGUCAUUAGGCAGAGACAAGCUGGGAAGACCACAACCUCUUCCACAGCCAGGCUGGGGGAGAAGGACCUCAAGGGAGAAGGGGAGCGGCAAUCUGGAAGAGGAGAGAGAAGCUAGGUGAGUGAGUCUUUGGGGUCUGUGUUAGGGAGAAGGGCUCAGGGAGCCAGAGGGCAAGGGUCCUGCAGGAUGGGAGGAGGAGUCACCCCAGAACAGCCAGGAGCGUUUCCUGCCAGCUGUGCCCCGGGGCUUCUCUGAGGGCAGGGAGGCCAGUGCCCACCUGCGACAGCACAGUGUUUGCAGGAUGCCGCGCAGUGACAAGCGCCAAGGUGGCCACCAGGACUGAGCUGACCCCAGAAAUGGGUGCACUGGGGAUGUUUUGUCCAUGAAUGAGCAAAUGUAUCUCUUGUUCAAGCGGAGUCCAACAGGAAAGCCCAAGAGACCGAUAUUUUUCCCCUAAGUUACGCAGUUUGUUGGCACCUGAAGUUAGAAGAAAGAGUUCCUUGCUCAGCAGCUGGGUAACCUCUGAGUUUCUCCACCUGUCGAGCAGGUAAAGCCUGCGGAGGGAGGCAGGCGGCGGGGAUUAAGGGAGCCCGAGGUGGGGAAGCGGUGCAGGGCCUACCUGCAGGCCCCUGGUGUAAGGCGCUCUCCUCCUCCUCUCGGGAAGGAGAAGGAUGCCUCACGCCCAGGCCUGGGUGGCAGCUGUGGUGCGUGCACCUGCACCGCUUGGGGCAGGGCCCCCUGCAAGCGGGGGCCGGACUAACUGAGCUUCCCGUCUUGACAUCCUCCCUAAGAUCUGGAAUCUUCCAAGGCUGGAGCCUUGAUCCUCUCUUUAAGUGGUAACAAGUUCUUCCUCCCAGGACAGCAGGAAGCCAGGCACACGUGUUCCCUCCGAGGCACAACCCGCUGACCCAUUCCCGGGAGCCUCGGUGAGGGGGAGGUGGUUCACCCUGUUUGGCAGGUGCGCCAACAUCAGGAACUUGAUCCCCUAGAAAACAGCGCGUGUGGCCUCGUGUUGGCCUGGGCUGUGGAGUGUGUCCUGAGAGUGACCACCAGUGCCUUCCUCUCCAGCGCCCGGUCGCCCUUGCUUUUCGGAAGCUGGCCCUGUGCCUCUUUGCUUUCAGGAGACUGAUGCUACUGCCUGUUUUCCCAACUGAAAGGAAGCUGAAGUCAUCCUCGCUUCUAGGAGGAAAGGGGGAAAGCAGAAAUAGCAGCCGCGCCAGCUGGUGGGGGCGGCCUGGGGCAGCGCGAGGGGGACCCCCCCCCAACCACACUCACACCACCACCUCCAGCGGCCAGGGCUCCCAACUGUGUCUGCGGCCCCUUGCUCCCCCUGGGCUCCACAUCUGUCCACCUGUCCCUGCAUCCGUCAGCAAGACGUGUCCUAAGGAAGGCCCUGCUUCCCAGUAGUGGGGAAUCCGGUGAUUAGAGGCUACUGUUUGAAGAAAGUACAUCUGGAGGUGUCUGGGGGGCUCAGUGGUGAGCAUCGGCGCCUUCAGCUCGGGUCGUGAUCUCGGGGUCCUGGGAGCAGGCCCCACAUUGAGCCCCGUAUCAGGCUCCCUGCUCAG